rnacentral:lncRNA from 10 species
AUUUGGGGGGGCUCUCGGCCCGGGCUUGGGGGGGUGGGGGCGGCGGCCCGAGGAGGUAUGGGGCGGGGAGGGAGCCCGGGAGGCACCGGGCGCCGUUAGCGCCGUGGCAUCGCUGUUUUGUUGUUGGGUCACGAGUGCGCCUCUGCACGCAGGCGCCGCCGCCGCCCGGGAGUUGUGUGCAGAGCUGACUUUUGGAGGGCCGAGUUGCAGGCGGCGGGCGCAUCCCGGAGAUGGCGGGGCAGGGAGGGAGGGAAGGAGGAGGGGGCGGGGAGGGAGGUGCAGAUUUGCACGGCUGGCCUCAGCGGGAGGCGCGGAAAUGCAAGCCGAGCAUGCUGGCGUGAAAGCCCCCGGGGCCUGGCACCCCCAAAAACGACCCCCCACCUCCGUUCCUGCCCUCAUUGCCCAGGGCUACCCCUCUUCCUCUUCUUUCAUCCACCCCUCCCCCAACAUUACCUGUGUGGCCGACUCAAAUUCAAAGCAUUUUGUAUAUAUAACUGUUUUCUUUUUUUGCUUUUCUGCUGCAUGUCUUUUUCGUGGGGGGUGAUCCUCUGCAGAUCCCCCCAUUUGCGGACCCGCCAUGUGGAGGAGGCAUUUGGGGGGCUCAGAAGGAAAUUAGCUCGGCUUCCAUACCUAUAAGGACUGCCUAACUUUUAAACUCCCGGCACUCAAAGAUGUGGACACACACACGUACAGGAAAUACAGCCAGACCAGAGCCUUUGCAGUCCGCAGCUGACCGGAAGACGUUGCCUUUCAUUCAUUCAUUCUGCCCGCCUCUGUGGACUCCUUUACUAGGCGACCAGCCCUGAAACAGAAGUUGGACAUUUUUUAAAGGUUCUUGCGCUCGGCAAGGGGAGCAGAUAGAUGCUCAGGAGCGAAAGACGCAGAGAAUUGGAUCUGGCGCCUCCUAACGCAGCCCGCACAGGAGCGAAGGAGAGUGUGACGAUCCCCCUGAUGCGGCUGAGAUGUUCUGAAAUGAAGACGUUGGCUCUCAUCCCCAGCCUGAAGAGAGAAAAUUC